GAGCUCAAAUUUGAAAUCUGGCGUCUUUCAGGCGUCCGAGUUGUAAUCUAUAGAGGCGUUUUCCGCGCCGGACCGCGUCCAAGUCUCUUGGAAUAGAGUAUCAAAGAGGGUGACAAUCCCGUACUUGACGCGACAACCGGUGCUCUGUGAUACGUUCUCAAUGAGUCGAGUUGUUUGGGAAUGCAGCUCUAAAUGGGUGGUAAAUUCCAUCUAAGGCUAAAUAUUGGCGAGAGACCGAUAGCGAACAAGUACCGUGAGGGAAAGAUGAAAAGCACUUUGGAAAGAGAGUUAAACAGCACGUGAAAUUGUUAAAAGGGAAACGAUUGAAGUCAGUCGUGUGGGAAGUAUUCAGCCGUCUCUGGCGGUGUAUUUGCUUCUCACGGGUCAACAUCAGUUUGAUCCGGUAGAAAAAGGCGGGAAGAAGGUGGCACCCUCGGGUGUGUUAUAGCUUCCUGUCAUAUGUGCCGGACCAGACUGAGGAACGCAGCUUGCAGCAAUGCCGGGGUUCGCCCACGUACAAGCUUAGGAUGUUGACAUAAUGGCUUUAAACGACCCGUCUUGAAACACGG
rnacentral:rRNA from 1 species